CAUCGAAAAUGGAUUUCACCGCUGUUUCUGCGCACGCGCGAGGAGCAGUAGCUGCGAGAGAGAAAUGUGGGGACUUUUGGUGCUCAAGAUUUCUCGUCGUUUAGGUACUACGGGGAAGAAAACCGUUUGCUCCGUUUGUCCCUAGCCGAGCUUGCACCACAGAAUCGACAGGAUGCGUGGCCGGCAAGGCGGAAAAAGCCGCGUCCGAGACCCAUCAACUAGCCCAAAUUAAUUUACAUAUCUCAUAAAAGCAAGUGCACUGCAGUUGGAGCUUUGGAAAUAGGCCUGUGUUUAAAACAGAUUCGAGUGGUCGACACAUGAAGUGGGCUCAUUCAUGUGAGUACCCAUGUCAGUGCUGUAUUGUCUUUUUUUGAAGAGGAUUGAUCGAUUGUUCCUGCUUUAGAUAAAAGUCUAGUGAUCUAGAGAGCAUAGUUUAAAAGGCUGAUGAAAAAGGGAACACUUUUGGAUUUUGCGUGCUAACUACUAUCUUGUCAGCUGCUACAGUUUUUGUAAAUAUUCAGUAAAUAUAUUUGGUGCAUCUCUUUUCCUCUGUAACACUUUCAUGGAGGUUGCGGACGCUUCCAGACGCAAGACUGAUUUAUGCAGCAGGCACUCAAGGCGAGAAUGCUUUGGCUACGUUGCCAUCUGCGUCCACAGUCAUCCUGGCACAACCGCCAUGAUAGGAGCUCCUGAGAUAAAACUGCCUCCAAGUCAGAAAAGAAAGGAAAAGCAGGUGUCUUUCUGCUUGUGUGGGAGGCGCCCUUAGUCCAGGACUCCUGCGGCUCUUGCUGUCUCCCGGGCUCGCCACACCUGGUGUAACAAGAAUUGUGUUCUCAUCUGAAUUACUGGAGUAUACUUUUUCCUUUGUCAUAGGUGGAAAAGUAAUCAGCAACGUUCUCACACCUACACUGUCCUUAUUGGUAUGUAGUGUGACUAAAUUCUGCUUCUGCAUUAGUUGUGUUGAUAGCAUGCUUGGUCCAAAUUCUUAUUUGUUCCUUUUGCUAAUUUUCAUUUUGUUCACAGAACUUUCCAAGAGGGGAACGUAUCCAAUAAAAUAAAGCACUAAUUUACUUUCAUGCUGAAGAUUCAUAACUCUUACAAAUUGAUGUGGUUUCUACCAGGUGAUCUUCACUGCAUUAAAGAGUUAUGAGCUAGGUACUAGGGUAUCCCAGCAACAUCAUGAGCAAGCAACACCAUCUUCUAUCAUCUCUUAGAGAAAAAAAAAUUCCUUAUAACUUUACUUCACUCUGCAAAACGCUUAAAGCAUAAAAAUAUCACUCAUUUUUUAUUUUUACAUAUUAUAUUACACAAGCGCAUAUUAAACAAUGAACAGUACUCCUCAUUGUCUUCUC